UGGCUCAGUGGUUAAGAGCACUGACUGCUCUUCCAGAGGCCCUGGGUUCAAUUCCCAG
rnacentral:tRNA from 1 species